GCUGGAGUGGCACAAAGCCUGUGUUUCAACCCCAACCCUAGUAGGGCUCCUUCAAGCCCAUCCAGUCAUCGUACUGGAAAAAAUAAACCAACAACAAACAACAGCGCUGGAGUGGAGUAGUGUCUGUUACUUCCUACGUUCCUAGGAGCGUUUCACUUUAGAAGGAAUAUCCCCUAUAAAGCAAGAAUACGCCAACUCACUGACGCGCUGCCAGACACAUAAUGUACCUGGGCCCAGUAUGUUGCCAGUCUUCAAAGCCUGACCAUACCAGCACUCACGCAUCUGAGGAGCCACGAUACCUAGGACGCGUUGCUUACCUGUCGCUGACUUCUGCAUCGUAAAUUUUCGCCGGCCUCGACUACUGCUUGGCUGUUCGCCUUCAUGAAUCUUCCCUCGCCUUGCUGCCUUAUGUGUAUCGGGUUAAUGAAACAGCGGGCAACUUGGACCUGGCUUUGAACUCCACAGCCUCAUGUAGAAUGUAGAUUGCAUGGAUUGGAGUUCAUUGGGAAGAAAUAAUGAUCCUUUAAUUGUUAUUUUCCCCUCAUUUCACCUAAUACACUUAAAACACUCCUGACGCAUACUCGAAAUAUACUAAAACACACCCAAAACACAAUAAAGCUCAACUGAAAAUCGAUCAAGCACACCAAGAAUGUCAAAGCACACCCGAGCACAUUAAAACACUCAAAUCACACACAAAACACCCGAAAACAAACCGAAAACCUUCCACUCCAUCCAACCCGAAAGUACGCAAACUGACCCAAAAACAUACCAACCGAUCUCCAACCAGCACCCAACUCAGCCUAACCAUUCCCUGCCGCCCCUCCGCCUCCACAUUACCCUCAGCUAUUCUGUAUGAACGUUGCG